ACAAACAACACCAUAGUAACACAAACAAAUACAGUAUGCGCGUCUGAAUUUUAGCAAAACCAGUUUUUAAAGCGAAAAGAAAAGCUACAGACUUUAAAACUGCGUGCAUUUCUUGCAAGUUUCGAUGCUUCGAUAGUCUUUCUGCUAACACGUGCUUUAUCACCGGUAAGAUGCUCAUGCCUUGAAACUUUGUUAUACCAAGUUACUUCCGGUUUGCCAGACUGCCAUAUAUGGCGAAGGCGUGCGUGCGUCAGCCAAUCACAGAGCCCCCCCCACGCGAAAUGCUAAGAAUGCGCGCGAUAGCGAACAGCGAGUCCCGUGGGACGGUAUUAAGUGGUACUUAUAGCAGGAGCUCUGGCAACGUUCAUAAAUAGCAACCUUCAGUCGCGAAAGCACCAACAUCACCCUAGACUCAACUCAGCGGCACCCACCAAUUAAUAUAACAGAAAUGGGAAAAGCACAGACUGUACUUCUAUUAGCAGCAGCACUAUUCAUUUGCAUGGCGUGCCUGGCCGACAGCAAGCCUGUUAUGUCCCUCGGACAAUGCAGGACAGAUUGCUUUACUCAGUACAGAAUUUGUAAGAAUUCCCUUGCUUGCAAUGGUUAUAUUGGAUGCCAAGUUUGCGAUAAACCGUACCAACGCUGUGCCGACAAAUGCAAGGCGAUGCUACACAAGAAAGCGCUCAAAUUGAUGUACAAGUUGUUCGACAUAGAAAAGCAGUUGCAAUGAGAAUCCGCGCACAGGCGAUGACUAAGGAGAC